rnacentral:rRNA from 1 species
UACGGGGGGGGCAAGCGUUGUUCGGAAUUACUGGGCGUAAAGGGCUCGUAGGCGGCCAACUAAGUCAGACGUGAAAUCCCUCGGCUUAACCGGGGAACUGCGUCUGAUACUGGAUGGCUUGAGUGUGGGAGAGGAAUGCGGAAUUCCAGGUGUAGCGGUGAAAUGCGUAGAUAUCUGGAGGAACACCGGUGGCGAAGGCGGCAUUCUGGACCAUUACUGACGCUGAGGAGCGAAAGCCAGGGGAGCAAAGCGGG